AUUGAACGCUGGCGGCAUGCCUUACACAUGCAAGUCGAACGGCAGCACGGGAGCAAUCCUGGUGGCGAGUGGCGAACGGGUGAGUAAUAUAUCGGAACGUGCCCAGUCGUGGGGGAUAACGUAGCGAAAGCUACGCUAAUACCGCAUACGAUCUACGGAUGAAAGCGGGGGAUCGCAAGACCUCGCGCGAUUGGAGCGGCCGAUAUCAGAUUAGCUAGUUGGUGAGGUAAAGGCUCACCAAGGCGACGAUCUGUAGCUGGUCUGAGAGGACGACCAGCCACACUGGAAAUGAGACACGGUCCAGACUCCUACGGGAGGCAGCAGUGGGGAAUUUUGGACAAUGGGCGCAAGCCUGAUCCAGCAAUGCCGCGUGCAGGAUGAAGGCCUUCGGGUUGUAAACUGCUUUUGUACAGAACGAAACGGUCCUUUCUAAUACAAGGGGCUAAUGACGGUACUGUAAGAAUAAGCACCGGCUAACUACGUGCCAGCCGCCGCGGUAA
rnacentral:rRNA from 1 species